UGGGGAAUAUUGGACAAUGGGGGCAACCCUGAUCCAGCAAUGCCGCGUGUGUGAAGAAGGUCUUCGGAUUGUAAAGCACUUUCGACGGGGACGAUGAUGACGGUACCCGUAGAAGAAGCCCCGGCUAACUUCGUGCCAGCAGCCGCGGUAAUACGAAGGGGGCUAGCGUUGCUCGGAAUGACUGGGCGUAAAGGGCGUGUAGGCGGUUUACACAGUCAGAUGUGAAAUCCCCGGGCUUAACCUGGGAGCUGCAUUUGAUACGUGUAGACUAGAGUGUGAGAGAGGGUUGUGGAAUUCCCAGUGUAGAGGUGAAAUUCGUAGAUAUUGGGAAGAACACCGGUGGCGAAGGCGGCAACCUGGCUCAUGACUGACGCUGAGACGCGAAAGCGUGGGGAGCAAACAGGAUUAGAUACCCUGGUAGUCCACGCUGUAAACGAUGUGUGCUAGAUGUUGGGUAACUUUGUUAUUCAGUGUCGCA
rnacentral:rRNA from 1 species